UACGGGGGGGGCAAGCGGUUGUUCGGAAUUACUGGGCGUAAAGGGCGCGUAGGCGGCCUGCUAAGUCGGACGUGAAAUCCCUCGGCUUAACCGAGGAACUGCGUCCGAUACUGGUGGGCUUGAAUCCGGGAGAGGGAUGUGGAAUUCCAGGUGUAGCGGUGAAAUGCGUAGAUAUCUGGAGGAACACCGGUGGCGAAGGCGGCGAU
rnacentral:rRNA from 1 species